rnacentral:rRNA from 1 species
UACGAAGGGGGCUAGCGUUGUUCGGAUUUACUGGGCGUAAAGCGCACGUAGGCGGUUCGUUAAGUCGGAUGUGAAAGCCCUCGGCUCAACUGAGGAAGUGCACCCGAAACUGGCGAGCUAGAGUACGAAAAGAGGAUCGCGGAAUUCCCGGUGUAGAGGUGAAAUUCGUAGAUAUCGGGAGGAACACCGGUGGCGAAGGCGGCGAUCUGGGUCGAGUACGUGACGCUGAGGUGCGAAAAGCGUGGGGAGCAAACAGGGAUAAGAUAUCCGUUGACGUC